GACGUAGGGCGCGAGCGUUGUCCGGAUUUAUUGGGCGUAAAGAGCUCGUAGGCGGCUUGUCGCGUCGAUCGUGAAAACUCGGGCUCAACUCCGAGCGUUGCGAUCGAUACGGGCAGGCUAGAGUCGUAGGGGAGACUGGAAUUCCUGGUGUAGCGGUGGAAUGCGCAGAUAUCAGGAGGAACACCGAUGGCGAAGGCAGGUCUCUGGGCCGAUACUGACGCUGAGGAGCGAAAGCGUGGGGAGCGAACAGG
rnacentral:rRNA from 1 species